GCCAUGGGCUCACUCUGCCAUUUUGGGCCAGGCCAUGGGCUCAGUCCACCAUUUUGUGACAGAUCAUGGAUAAGGAGAUGUAUGAAUGAAGGACUGUACCUUCACCAACUAUUAAUGUACAUUAUACAGAAGUCCUGAAAAAAAAUACCUGUUGAUUUUCAGUAUGUACCAUUCCCAGACUAACAGCAAGUUCCUUUUGUUAUCUGGCUUUAAACCCAGUGAAUAUUCAUCAGUGAUGUUCAAGUAAAAUGGCUGGAGAAGGAGAGGAAAUGUGGCCCUGUGAGAAGAUGAAGAAUACCAAAUUGUGACUGCUGUCAUACUUUGAAUGAAGAAAUUGCAAGUUGCUUAAAAGGAACAUUUUGGGAGAGUGAACUGUAUGUCAUUAAAGAAGUAUUUCAUCUAUCAUCAUC